CACCCAACAUUGAGAAUGAGAAAAUGGGCUUAUAGUUGGUAGUCCGGUUACCUGCACUCCGAAUGUGAUGGCAAUUGACUUAUUAUAGAAUGGUGCCUCUAGGACUUCUGGCCAGACCUCAUUCCCCUCUUCCCUCUUCAUCCCACCCGGAGUGAGAAUAGUUACCUGGCAGUGAAGCUGCUACUUUCUGAUCAUGAGGAUGAAGGUCUGUACAUUAAGAUUUGUGGACCUGGGCCCCUGAGGAGAUCACGCACUGUAAACAAAUUUGGGUGUUUGAUAGCACAGCUGUGACUGCUGGGAGCAGAGUUUUAAGGAUGUCGUCCUAGGACCUCCACCAGAGACUGACUGAAAUCAGAAUCCCGGGGGAUGGAGCUCUGAAUCUGUAUCAACAAUCUCACCAGGUGAUUCACAUAUGGAAUUUGAGAACCAAUAGCAUACAUGUUUGAUUUCCAGGGAAAGG